rnacentral:rRNA from 1 species
AACGAACGCUGGCGGCAUGCCUAACACAUGCAAGUCGAACGAUGCCUUCGGGCAUAGUGGCGCACGGGUGCGUAACGCGUGGGAAUCUGCCCUUGGGUUCGGAAUAACUCAGAGAAAUUUGAGCUAAUACCGGAUGAUGACGUAAGUCCAAAGAUUUAUCGCCCAAGGAUGAGCCCGCGUAAGAUUAGCUAGUUGGUGGGGUAAAGGCCUACCAAGGCGACGAUCUUUAGCUGGUCUGAGAGGAUGAUCAGCCACACUGGGACUGAGACACGGCCCAGACUCCUACGGGAGGCAGCAGUGGGGAAUAUUGGACGAAUGGGCGGAAAGACCUCGAUCCCAGCAAUAGCCGCCGUGGUAGU